UUCGUCUUGAGCUUCGAGAGCGGGCAGCCAUGCCGCUUUGUUAAUCGAGCUCAGAAGUUAUUCAGUGCUUGUUCUUUUUGAACAAUGGCAUCAUUUUUUCACAUUUUUUGACACCGAGAUUCGGUUUUUUUUUUCCAGUUUUAUUCAAUCCAUAUUCGUAUAUUUUCUCUCACCAAAAACCAUAUGGUCGAGAGAUUGAUAUGUUCACGUGGUAUUACAUAGCUCUACGUAAUAAAAUAUUCCAGUGAUAAUUCUGGCCACCAAAAUCAGUGGAGACAAGUAUAAUAGCUGUUACAUAAAGCAUCGUAAUAUUCGUUGCUACAUAAGGACAUAUUACAUUCUCAAAUCGAUGAGAAACGAUUCUCAAUCAAAAACAGUGUGGACUUAGAUGACACAAAUACAACAGAGGAUUUGGUUGACACAGAUACUGUGAAAAUGAUUCAAAUAUUACAAAUGAAGAA